CUGGGUGUGGCGCAGUUGGUAGCGCGCUACCUUGGGGUGGUAGAGGCCGUGGGUUCAAGUCCCGUCACUCAGACCA
rnacentral:tRNA from 9 species